AGUGCGUCUUCGCACUUACGCGGAGCGGUAAUGUGAGGAAGCCUCCCGCCAAACAGAUGAGGGAGGAGGAGGAGGGGAGAGGCCAGAGAGAGAAGCGGCUUUCGGGAAGGAAAGUGUGAUCUAUUUUUUUUUUUUUCUUCUCCAGAAUGACCCUCUAUUUGGAUUUGGAUUACACAAAGUUUAACGUUUUUUGGAAAAAUCCUACCUAGGUAAUGUGUAGUUCUCAAUGCAUCAUGUCAGGCAGCUUAUGAUGCCAAUUUGUCCCAUGACACCCCUGAGAGAGUCUUCGGCACAUAUGAUGUCCUCUAUUGAUGUUUGCUGAAUAGAUGAGGAUGCCAAAAGAGGGAGGAGAUACCAAAAGAGGGAAAGAAGGACACCCAGAAGACAAAUGGUGCUCACCUUGAGCCUCGAGGUCUUUAGGAAAACGGUGACUCUGGAGCACAGCCCUGGAUCCCUGAUGGCAGGUGGAUGAAUCUGCUCCCCACCUGGAUGCUGCUAGUCCUUUCUCCAGGCUCCGUGACUGAAAAUGUGCUUUACUUGGCAAAAGCUGUUUCUCCUCAGAA
rnacentral:lncRNA from 10 species